rnacentral:rRNA from 1 species
AGGACGAACGCUGGCGGCGUGCUUAACACAUGCAAGUCGAGCGGUAAGGCCUUUCGGGGUACACGAGCGGCGAACGGGUGAGUAACACGUGGGUGAUCUGCCCUGCACUUCGGGAUAAGCCUGGGAAACUGGGUCUAAUACCGGAUAUGACCUCAGGUUGCAUGACUUGGGGUGGAAAGAUUUAUCGGUGCAGGAUGGGCCCGCGGCCUAUCAGCUUGUUGGUGGGGUAAUGGCCUACCAAGGCGACGACGGGUAGCCGACCUGAGAGGGUGACCGGCCACGACUGGGACUGAGACACGGCCCAGACUCCUACGGGAGGCAGCAGUGGGAAUAUGCACAAUGGCAAAGCCUGAUGCAGCGACGCGCGUGAGGAUGACGGCUUCGGGUUGUAAACCGUCUUUCAGCAGGACGAAGCGACAAGUGACGG